CCUACGGGAGGCAGCAGUGGGGAAUCUUGCGCAAUGGGCGAAAGCCUGACGCAGCGACGCCGCGUGGGUGAUGAAGGCCUUCGGGUUGUAAAGCCCUGUGGGGAGGGACGAAUAACAGUGACCUAAUACGUCAUUGGAUGACGGUACCUCCUUAGCAAGCACCGGCUAACUCUGUGCCAGCAGCCGCGGUAAGACAGAGGGUGCAAACGUUGUUCGGAAUUACUGGGCGUAAAGCGCGUGUAGGCGGUUAUGCAAGUCGGGUGUGAAAGCCCCGG
rnacentral:rRNA from 1 species